rnacentral:lncRNA from 1 species
UCAGAUCUCCCUCAUUAAUUGAGGUGGCAGAUCUUAUGGUCAAGCGCGCGCUUCCAUCAAACACCUCAGCCAACUGCAUCACAUGUGUGGUAUUCAAAAGCAAGGUCCAGGAUUAAAACGUGGAUACAUGAUCAGAUGAUCUGGGCAAUGCCAGCACACCACCGGAGCCCUAGCUUCGGUCAUCUUCUCCGAUGGACCUCACCGAACUGGUCCACCAUAAACCACCACAAAAAUGAAAAACAAGGACAUG